rnacentral:rRNA from 1 species
GACGAACGCUGGCGGCGGGCCUAACACAUGCAAGUCGAGCGGUCCCUCCGGGGUUGCUGGCUGGAUGGGUAGUAAAGCGUUGAGAUAUACCCUUCUCUACUGCCUAGUUCUUUGAAAUUGGGGGUAAUACCGUAUACGCCCUCUGGGGGUAAGCUUUAUCGGGGAAGGAUUAGCGGGCGGGGGUUUAGGUAGUUGGUGGGGUAAUGGCCUACCAAGCCGACGAUCCGGAGCUGGUUUGAGAGGAUGAGCAGACACACUGGGACUGAGAGACGGCCCGGACUGGUAAGGGAGGCAGAAGGGGGGAAUCUUAGACAAAGGGGGCAAGCGUGAGGUAGCCAGGCCGUGGGAGUGAUGAAGGCCUUAGGGUUGUAAAGCGCCUUAAGCUGGGAAGAUAAUGACGGUACCAGCAGAAGAAGCGCCGGCUAACUACGUG